AGAGUUUGAUCCUGGCUCAGGAUGAACGCUGGCGGCGUGCUUAACACAUGCAAGUCGAACGAAGCACUUUAUUUGACUUCCUUCGGGACUGAUUAUUUUGUGACUGAGUGGCGGACGGGUGAGUAACGCGUGGGUAACCUGCCUUGUACAGGGGGAUAACAGUUGGAAACGGCUGCUAAUACCGCAUAAGCGCACGGCAUCGCAUGAUGCAGUGUGAAAAACUCCGGUGGUAUAAGAUGGACCCGCGUUGGAUUAGCUAGUUGGUGAGGUAAUGGCCCACCAAGGCGACGAUCCAUAGCCGACCUGAGAGGGUGACCGGCCACAUUGGGACUGAGACACGGCCCAAACUCCUACGGGAGGCAGCAGUGGGGAAUAUUGCACAAUGGGCGAAAGCCUGAUGCAGCGACGCCGCGUGAGCGAAGAAGUAUUUCGGUAUGUAAAGCUCUAUCAGCAGGGAAGAUAAUGACGGUACCUGACUAAGAAGCACCGGCUAAAUACGUGCCAGCAGCCGCGGUAAUACGUAUGGUGCAAGCGUUAUCCGGAUUUACUGGGUGUAAAGGGAGCGCAGGCGGUGCGGCAAGUCUGAUGUGAAAGCCCGGGGCUCAACCCCGGUACUGCAUUGGAAACUGUCGUACUAGAGUGUCGGAGGGGUAAGCGGAAUUCCUAGUGUAGCGGUGAAAUGCGUAGAUAUUAGGAGGAACACCAGUGGCGAAGGCGGCUUACUGGACGGUAACUGACGUUGAGGCUCGAAAGCGUGGGGAGCAAACAGGAUUAGAUACCCUGGUAGUCCACGCCGUAAACGAUGACUACUAGGU
rnacentral:rRNA from 1 species